rnacentral:rRNA from 1 species
UGUCCUACGGGAGGCAGCAGUGGGGGAUAUUGCACAAUGGGGGGAACCCUGACCCAGCAACGCCGCGUGAAGGAAGAAGGCUUUCGGGUUGUAAACUUCUUUUCUCAGGGACGAAGAAAGUGACGGUACCUGAGGACUAAGCCACGGCUAACUACGUGCCAGCAGCCGCGGUAAUACGUAGGUGGCAAGCGUUAUCCGGAUUUAUUGGGUGUAAAGGGCGUGUAGGCGGGAGCGCAAGUCAGAUGUGAAAACUCAGGGCUCAACCCUGAGCCUGCAUUUGAAACUGUGUUUCUUGAGUGCUGGAG